CAGAACAUAAUUUAGUUUGAGAAUACUGGCUUUGGGGGCCAGCAGUAGAGGUGUGAUCCCUCUUGUUCUGA
rnacentral:tRNA from 1 species